ensembl:lncRNA
UAUUUAAUGGUUUCAGCUUAGUUUAUUUGAUCUAAAACUUCAGUGCACGGUUGCAGGGAUCAGCUGACACAGAUCGCUGGCACAGGCUGGUUAGUUAUUUAAUGGUUUCAGCUUAGUUUAUCUAAAACUUCAGUGCACGGUUGCAGGGAUCAGCUGAAACAGAUCGCUGGUACAGGCUGGUUAGUUAUUUAAUGGUUUCGGUUUGGUUUAUUUUAUCUAAAACUUCAGUGCACGGUUGCAGGGAUCAGCUGACACAGAUCGCUGGCACAGGCUGGUUAGUUAUUUAAUGGUUUCAGCUUAGUUUAUCUAAAACUUCAGUGCGCGGUUGCAGGGAUCAGCUGACACAGAUCCCUUGCACAGGCUGGUUAGUUAUUUAAUGGUUUC